AGAGUUUGAUCCUGGCUCAGGACGAACGCUGGCGGCAUGCCUAACACAUGCAAGUCGAACGGAGAUUACUUCGGUAAUCUUAGUGGCGAACGGUUGAGUAACGCGUGGGCAACCUGCCCUCUAGAUGGGGACAACAUCCCGAAAGGGGUGCUAAUACCGAAUGUGACAGCAAUCUCGCAUGAGGAUGCUGUGAAAGAUGGCCUCUAUUUAUAAGCUAUCGCUAGAGGAUGGGCCUGCG
rnacentral:rRNA from 1 species